rnacentral:tRNA from 1 species
CAUUAGAUGGCUGAAAGUAAGUAUUGAUCUCUUAAAUCAUAAAAUAGUAAAUUAACUAAUUACUUCUAAUGA